GACGAACGCUGGCGGCGUGCCUAAUACAUGCAAGUCGAGCGGACUGAUUAAUAGCUUGCUCUUAUGACGUUAGCGGCGGACGUGUGAGUAACACGUGGGCAACCUGCCCUGUAGAUCGGGAUAACACCGAGAAAUCGGUGCUAAUACCGGGUAAUAUCUGAGAUCACAUGAUCUUAGGUUAAAAUAUGGCUCCGGCUAUCACUACAGCAUGCGCCCGCGUCGCAUGAGCUAGUUGGUAAGGUAAUGGCUUGCCAAGGCGACGAUGCGUGGCCGACCUGCGAGGGGGAUAGGCAGAACCGGGCCUGGGACGCGGCCCGGCAUCCUACGAGAGGCAGCAGGAGGGAAUCUUCAGCAGUGGACGAAAGUCUGAAGGAGGAACGACGCGCGAGAGAUGGAGGGUGUCGGCUCGUAAAGGUCUGGUGUUAGGGAAGAAACAGUACCGAACGCAAUAGGUCGGUAUCUUGACGGUACCUAAACAGAAAGCCACGGCUAACUACGUG
rnacentral:rRNA from 1 species